AAGAAAAGUGUAAAGGUCUGUGGGAACCAUGCCAGGCCCCUGGAUAGUCAAGGCCAGUGGGAGCACAGAGGCCAUGGUAUCAAUAUGCCAGAAUGGCCAAAGGCUGCUCUGGGCAUGUGCCUAAAUGGGAUAUUCAAGGACUC